GUGGGGACGACCUUCGCGUCUCUCUCUCUCUCUCUCUCGCCGUCUUGUCUUCCUGCCGUUUACCCAUUUUUCUCUCUCUCUCGUUCGUCGCUGCCUUCCUCCGUCGAACACGAAUCCUAAAUUUGAGCCUCCGUCCCGUUAUCAUUUUCCAUUCCUUCCCUCAGAUCGAGGAGGAGGACGGCCCCCUCGAUCGCUCGUGUGGCUUAUAUCCCCCUAGGGCAACUCCACCGGAGAUCUUGCCGAUGAUUUUCUGAGCUGGGUUCCUUAGGGCUCGAAUUCCUACGCCGUUGGCGCCAUCCUGCCGCUAGAACAUCAGCGAAACGCGAACCUCAAGGCAUGUGAUUCUUUGGGCAAACGCUCUAUAAGGAAUUAAGGAAGAUUUUUCUGGAGUGCAUAAUGACGUCGAGGUUUUUGGCUUUUCAAAAAUUCAGAAAAGCUGGUUAUUCUUUUCUAGCAAAUCCCAGAACCAGCUUUUCCACAACGAAUCCUGGAUUUUCUUCAGCAAAUGGUUUACCUUUUUCAUGUAGAUUGUUCCCACAGAACAAGGUUUUUCAUGGAUGGAAUAACUUGUUUAUGCUCUAUAAAACGGAGGAAAAUAUAUCCAAGAAUAAUCCCUUGAGGAAGUUCUUUGUCAUUUCAGCUAGAAGUUCGAUGACACAUCGUAUUCAAGUUGCCUGGAAACAGCUGUGUGUAAUGUACUCUUAUAGAGGAAUUGCAUCUUCACCUGUCAGUAAGAUUGCUUGUGCUGCAAGUUUAGCUGUCGCUAGAUCCCAUUUGGUUCCUAGCUUUCUUGCAUUCAUUACUGGGGAGAUUGCAUUGUCCAAGACAGCUUGGGCAGAUGGGGAGUACUUUCCAACACGAAAUGCACUUUAUAUGCAAGCACAAGAUAGCCAUAUUUUCCUCACCUCCUUUAUUCUUUCCAUAUUGGAGUGUUUUAUUUUGUUUCUAAGAGCAUUCUAUUUGGCAGUUCUGUUCUCUCCUAUUAUAGUAUUGGCUCCACUUGCAGAUAGUUGUGAUACUCAGUUCAGAAAAAUGUGGAAUCAUCUUGUUCAUUCUACUCUGGAAAAAGCAGGCCCAGCAUUCAUAAAAUGGGGUCAGUGGGCUGCUACACGUCCGGACCUCUUCCCUAGUGAUCUUUGCUAUGAAUUGGCAAAGCUUCAUUGUAAAGCACCUGCACAUAGCUUUGCCUACACAAGGAAAUCUAUAGAGAGAGCAUUCGGCCGCAAACUUUCUGAUGUUUUUGAGAAUUUUGAGGAGGAACCUGUGGCAUCUGGAAGUGUAGCUCAGGUACAUCGGGCUUCUUUGAGAUUUCGCCAUCCUGGUCAACAUGCAAAGCAGUUAGUUGUUGCUGUAAAGGUUAGACAUCCUGGUGUUGGUGAGUCCAUUAAGAGGGAUUUCAUGAUAAUUAACAUGGUGGCCAAAAUCUCCAAGUUCAUGCCCACCUUGAAGUGGUUGCGCUUGGAUGAAAGCGUGCAACAGUUUGCUGUAUUCAUGAUGUCUCAAGUAGAUCUUGCAAGGGAAGCUGCCCAUUUAAGCCGCUUUAUCUAUAAUUUCCGCAGGUGGAAGGAUGUAUCUUUCCCAAAACCUCUCUAUCCGCUUGUCCAUCCUGCUGUUUUAGUGGAGACUUAUGAGCAUGGACAAAGUGUUUCUUACUAUGUUGAUGAGCUUGAAGGGCAUGACCGACUCAAAAGUGCGCUUGCUCACAUUGGGACUCAUGCACUCUUGAAGAUGCUUCUGGUGGACAAUUUCGUCCAUGCAGAUCUGCAUCCUGGAAAUAUGCUUGUCCGAGCUCAAACCAAGCACUCAAAUAAAAGGCUCUUUAAAUCAAAGCCUCAUGUCAUCUUUCUUGAUGUAGGUAUGACUGCAGAACUUUCCAGCAGCGACCGUGUAAAUCUGCUCAACUUUUUUAAAGCUGUUGCUCUUCGAGAUGGACGCACUGCAGCUGAGUGCACCUUAAGGUUAUCAAGAAAUCAAAACUGCUCAAAUCCAAAGGCUUUCAUUGAGGAAGUAGAUAAAUCAUUUAGUUUUUGGGGCUCUCCUGAAGGGGAUUCUGUCCAUCCAGCUGAAUGCAUGCAUCAGUUGCUCGAGCAAGUUCGCCGUCAUAAAGUCAAUAUCGAUGGUAAUGUUUGCACUGUGAUGGUGACAACUUUGGUUUUGGAGGGUUGGCAGCGGAAGCUGGAUCCAGAUUAUGACAUUAUGCAGACACUGCAAACAUUGUUAUUCAAAUCUGAGUGGGCACAGUCUCUUUCAUAUACAAUUGAAGCACUUAUGUCCCCUUAGAGAAAGGCUCCUCCCCUGCAGUUUUACAUAUUCCCAGAGAAAUUUUUUGACAGCAUAAAGUUGGUGUAUAAUGAUUAUGUUUGGUAUGGGCUCUCCAAUUUUGUUUUUUCCCUUCUAAAUGUUUCUUUUGCAGAUUCAACAUCUGCAUCAUGCUUAAAUGUUAUUAAGAUAAAUUUCCUUCUCAACAUCUGUGAGGUUGAACGGAAGAAUGUUCUGCCUUUUUCAUUUCAGUUGUUGAAAUCUCAUCAAUGAUUAUUUAAGCAUGUGUGUGGUAAUUUUGGCGCAACUUGCAAAGAUCAAUUCUUUGGAAAUUUCAUGGACCUUUUGAUUGUGUUUUCUCUAGUUUGUGCCAUGUCAGAUCAGCAUUUCUUGGUCAUUUAAAAAGUCAUUCGUCAUUCCUCAGUAAAUUUGUGUUAUCAUCAAUGGACAACAUCUGUCUAUUUUUCUUUUCCCCAAAAUUUUUGGGCUCUUCUUUUAUUGAGUUGAAUUGUAUUAACUUAUUCCAAUUUUUUUGGUUCCAAAGAUUAUUAUUUCUUGUAUGUUCAUUGAAGUAAAGAAAAAGGAUAAUCUUGA